rnacentral:rRNA from 1 species
UACGAAGGGUGCAAGCGUUAAUCGGAAUUACUGGGCGUAAAGCGCGCGUAGGUGGUUCAGCAAGUUGGAUGUGAAAUCCCCGGGCUCAACCUGGGAACUGCAUCCAAAACUACUGAGCUAGAGUACGGUAGAGGGUGGUGGAAUUUCCUGUGUAGCGGUGAAAUGCGUAGAUAUAGGAAGGAACACCAGUGGCGAAGGCGACCACCUGGACUGAUACUGACACUGAGGUGCGAAAGCGUGGGGAGCAAACAGGAUUAGAUACCCCCGUAGUCC